rnacentral:rRNA from 1 species
GCCUAGACGUAAACAAUUUAUUUACAUACUUUAACGCCCGGGUAUUACGAGCAAUGCUUAAAACCCAAAGGACUUGACGGUGUCUCACCCACCUAGAGGAGCCUGUUCUAUAAUCGAUAAUCCCCGCUUUACCUAACCAUUCUUUGCCUAAUCAGUCUGUAUACCUCCGUCGGAAGCUUACCAUAUGAACGCCCAUAGUAAGCCCAAUGGUCACCCACCAACACGUCAGGUCAAGGUGCAACUUAUAGGAUGGAAAGAAAUGGGCUACAAUUUCUAAAUUAGAACAAACGAAAGGCUGUCUGAAACCCCCAGUCAUGAAGGAGGAUCUAGUAGUAAAAGGGGAAUAGAGAGCUCUUUUUAACCCGGCACUGAGACGCGUACACACCGCCCGUCACCCUCUUCAAUAGUUAUUCGUCUAGAUUAUUAACAAAUUAACCACGCCUUAGAAGAGGCAAGUCGUAACACGGUAGGGGUACUGGAAAGUGCCCCUGGUAGACACCAAAAUGUAGCUUAACAAAAGCCCCUCGCUUACACCGAAGUAAUAUCUGUUAAACCCGGAUCAUUUUGAGCCUAAAAUCUAGCCCAUUCCACUUUAUUAUACCUUUUAAUUUUACAGCCCUGAAACAAACCAUUUUAACUUCUUAGUACAGGCGAUCGAAAAAUCUCUACGGCGCUUCAGAUAAAGUACCGCAAGGGAAUGAUGAAAUAGCUAUGAAAUAGCCUAAAGCUAAUAAGCAGAGAUUUACC